rnacentral:misc_RNA from 1 species
GAUGAAGAACGUAGCGAAAUGCGAUAAGUAAUGUGAAUUGCAGAAUUCAGUGAAUCAUCGAAUCUUUGAACGCACCUUGCGCCCUUUGGCCAUUCCGAAGGGCAUGCCUGUUUUAGUAUCAUGAACACCUCAACUCUUUAUGGUUUUCCAUGAUGAGCUUGGACUCUGGGGGUUUUGCUGGCUCACAGUCGGCUCCUCUAAAAUAAAUCAGCUUACCAGUGUUUGGUGGGUAUCAUGGGUGUGAUAACUAUCGACGCUUGUGGUUUUUCCACCAGGUAACCUUCAGCAGUGGAGGUUCGCUGGAGCUCAUAGAUGUCUCUCCUCAGUGAGGACAGCCCUUUGAACGUUUGAUCUCAAAUCAGGUAGGACUACCCGCUGAACUUAAGCAUAUCAAUAAGCGGAGGA